rnacentral:rRNA from 1 species
CGUGGGGUAUGGUUUUCGGACCUAGAGACCGGCGCACGGGUGCGUAACGCGUAUGCAAUCUACCUUUUACAGAGGGAUAGCCCAGAGAAAUUUGGAUUAAUACCUCAUAGUAUUAUUGAAUGGCAUCAUUUAAUAAUUAAAGUCACAACGGUAAAAGAUGAGCAUGCGUCCCAUUAGCUUGUUGGUAAGGUAACGGCUUACCAAGGCAACGAUGGGUAGGGGUCCUGAGAGGGAGAUCCCCCACACUGGUACUGAGACACGGACCAGACUCCUACGGGAGGCAGCAGUGAGGAAUAUUGGUCAAUGGGCGCAAGCCUGAACCAGCCAUGCCGCGUGCAGGAUGAAGCAUCUAUGGUGUGUAAACUGCUUUUGUACGAGAAGAAACACUCCUACGUGUAGGAGCUUGACGGUAUCGUAAGAAUAAGGACCGGCUAACUCCGUGCCAGCAGCCGCGGUAAUACGGAGGGUCCAAGCGUUAUCCGGAAUCAUUGGGUUUAAAGGGUCCGUAGGCGGUUUUGUAAGUCAGUGGUGAAAGCCCAUCGCUCAACGGUGGAACGGCCAUUGAUACUGCAAGACUUGAAUUAUUAGGAAGUAACUAGAAUAUGUAGUGUAGCGGUGAAAUGCUU